GACGGAGGAUGCAAGUGUUAUCCGGAAUCACUGGGCGUAAAGCGUCUGUAGGUGGUUUAAAAAGUCCACUGUUAAAAAUUGAAGACUUAACUUCAAAGAUGCCGUGGAAACUUUUAAACUUGAGUAUGAUAGGGGUAGAGGGGAUUUCCAGUGGAGCGGUGAAAUGCGUAGAUAUUGGAAAGACCACCAAUGGCGAAGGCACUCUACUGGGCCAUUACUGACACUGAGAGACGAAAGCUAGGGGAGCGAAUGGG
rnacentral:rRNA from 1 species